CGCCAACCAGCUAGCCCGCCCUCCCCCCAGAACAACACCUCAAUAUUUAUAAACCCAAAUGCACCCCCCCCAAAAAAAACAAAUCAUUUUUCCCCCUUAGUAUGGGAGACAGAAAAGGAUCUCCACGGAGCGAUAGAGAAAGUACCGCAAGGGAAUGCUGAAAGAGAAGUGAAAUAACUCAGUAAAGCCUACAAAAGCAGAGAUUUCCCCUCGUACCUUUUGCAUCAUGAUUUAGCCAGUACCAUCCAAGCAAAGAGAACUUUAGUUUGACCCCCCGAAACUAGGUGAGCUACUCCAAGACAGCCUAUUAUAGGGCAAACCCGUCUCUGUGGCAAAAGAGUGGGAAGAACUUUGAGUAGAGGUGACAGACCUACCGAACCUAGUUAUAGCUGGUUGCCUGAGAAAUGAAUAUGAGUUCAGCCUCUAAGCUUCUCCUCUCAUCUCGGCCUAACCCUAACCGACACUCAGAGAAGCAAAGAGAGUUAGUCAAAGGGGGUACAGCCCCUUUGAUAAAAGACACAACUUUUCCAGUUGGGUAAAGAUCAUAAUCUCUAAGGACAUUAUACCCUAGUGGGCCUAAAAGCAGCCACCUAUGUAGAAAGCGUUAAAGCUCAAGUAUAACCUGCCCCAUAUAUUUCGAUAACAACUCUUAACCCACUAACAUUAUCAAGCCUUCUCAUGCAAACAUGAGAGUGAUUAUGCUAAUAUGAGUAAUAAGAGAGCCUAGCCUCUCUCCUUGCACACGUGUAAAUCGGAACGAACCCACACCGAAGAUUAAUCGGCCCCAAAUGAAGAGGGAAAUAGAUAACAAGAAGAAAAACUAGAAAAGCAUUUAAUUAACUACCGUUAAUCCCACACUGGUGUGCCCUAAAGGAAAGACUAAAAGAAGAAGAAGGAACUCGGCAAACUUACUAAGCCUCGCCUGUUUACCAAAAACAUCGCCUCUUGCAAACACAGAAUAAGAGGUCCCGCCUGCCCUGUGACUAUAUGUUUAACGGCCGCGGUAUUUUAACCGUGCGAAGGUAGCGCAAUCACUUGUCUUUUAAAUCAAGACCUGUAUGAAUGGCAUAACGAGGGCUUAACUGUCUCCUUCUUCAGGUCAAUGAAAUUGAUCUUCCCGUGCAGAAGCGGGAAUAUUCACAUAAGACGAGAAGACCCUAUGGAGCUUUAGACACUAGAGUAUAUCAUGUUAAACAACCCUAAACAAAGGACUUAACUAGAUGAACCAUACCCUUAUGUCUUUGGUUGGGGCGACCGCGGGGAAACAGAAAACCCCCACGUGGAAAGGGGGCACUGCCCCCUACAACCAAGAACUGCAGUUCUAACGAACAGAACUUCUGACCAAAUAUGAUCCGGCAAUGCCGAUCAACGGACCGAGUUACCCUAGGGAUAACAGCGCAAUCCUCUUUUAGAGCCCAUAUCGACAAGGGGGUUUACGACCUCGAUGUUGGAUCAGGACAUCCUAAUGGUGCAACCGCUAUUAAGGGUUCGUUUGUUCAACGAUUAAAGUCCUACGUGAUCUGAGUUCAGACCGGAGUAAUCCAGGUCAGUUUCUAUCUAUGAUAUGUUUUUUUCUAGUACGAAAGGACCGAAAAGAAGAGGCCCAUACCUAAGGUACGCCUCACCUCUCCUAAUGAAAACAACUAAAAUAGGCAAAAAGGCAUUUAUCCUUCACGCCUAAGAUAAUGGCAU
rnacentral:rRNA from 1 species